UAGCUUAGAGGGUAAAGCAUCUGCCUGCAAUGCAGGAGACCCGGGUUCGAUCCCUGG
rnacentral:tRNA from 1 species